UACGUAGGCAGCAAGCGUUGUUCGGAGUUACUGGGCGUAAAGGGCGCGUAGGUGGCCUUCUAAGUUGAACGUGAAAUCCCUGGGCUCAACCCAGGAACUGCGUCCAAGACUGGGAGGCUUGAAUCCGGGAGAGGAAUGCGGAAUUCCUGGUGUAGCGGUGAAAUGCGCAGAUAUCAGGAGGAACACCGGUGGCGAAGGCGGAUCUCUGGGCCAUUACUGACGCUGAGGAGCGAAAGCGUGGGGAGCGAACAGG
rnacentral:rRNA from 1 species